GGAUCAAACUAAAAUGGUAUUGGGAUAUGUAACAUAUGCAGAUGAAGAAAUAAUUCAUGCAAUAGAAGCCGGAUCAAACUAUAAUGAUACAAACUCUGAGGUACAAACUCCAGCCAUGGAAAUUGUACCGAAAGAAUUUGUAGGUUGAUCUUCGGAGAGGAAGAGGGCGAUGGUGUGUUGCGGAGUAUGCUGUGAACAAGGACAUAACCAACUGUCCUGUUUCAAAACAUCCGGAGAAAGCGGUUUGAGACAGUAAUGUCCUGAUUAGUUUGUGAGAACAAUUUCUGUUAAAUUGUUUGACUCUUUCUAGACUUUGGAUGGUUUGUGUUCGGUUUUCAACUUUAAAAGAUAUUUUGCCACAUACAUACAGGCAUAUGCGAUUAUGCUAUGGUAGUUCCUCUCUAUCUCGAUCUAGAUCUUAAAAUCUUACAAUUUUGCGAUCUCACGCACCCUCAACGAUCUCAAUUUUAAGUAAAAUUGUGUGUUGUAGCCAAAUUGUGAAAAACCGUAAAAUCGAUGAUUUUACGUGAUCUUGGCUAAUAUCGACCAUGAUCGGCCGUUUCCGGCCACUACCAUUACAAGUCCAAAAGGAUGACAACUGACAAGAUAGGCACAACAAUUAUUGUUUGACGGCCACUAUCAUUACAAGUCCGAAAGGAUGACAGGAUAGGCACAACAAUUAUUGUUUGGUGGUGGUGAAUGAAUACAUGCCUUUUAAAAUCAUGAAGUUUAAUCAUCUCGGCUGUAGGGUUUGUUUUAAAUAAUGGGACUAUGAUAAACCAAGUCGUAAAAUAAAUGUGUCUCUAAAGUCAGGCAAAGAAUAUGAAAGAGGGUCAUUUUCCUAUUAAUACAUUUG